rnacentral:rRNA from 14 species
GGGAUGGACUCCUCAGCGCCGUGCUCGACGAGGUACUCUGCCAACUGCGUGAAGUGGUACUGGUUGCAGUAGUGAAGCGGUGUGU